AACGAACGCUGGCGGCAUGCCUAACACAUGCAAGUCGAACGAGACCUUCGGGUCUAGUGGCGCACGGGUGCGUAACGCGUGGGAACCUGCACUUAGGUUCGGAAUAACUCCCCGAAAGGGGUGCUCAUACCGGUUAAUGUCUUCGGACCAAAGAUUUAUCGCCUUUGGAUGGGCCCGCGUUGGUUUAGUUAGUUGGUAGGGUAAAAGCCUACCAAGGCGACGAUCCAUAGCUGGUCUGAGAGGAUGAUCAGCCACACUGGGACUGAGACACGGCCCAGACUCCUACGGGAGGCAGCAGUGGGGAAUAUUGGACAAUGGGCGAAGGCCUGAUCCAGCAAUGCCGCGUGAGUGAUGAAGGCCUUAGGGUUGUAAAGCUCUUUUACCCGGGAUGAUAAUGACAGUACCGGGAGAAUAAGCACCGGCUAACUCCGUG
rnacentral:rRNA from 1 species